GCUAUCGGCCAUGGGCAAAGCAGGUGCUGUGGGGCACUGCAGGCCCUUUUCAGGAGCGCCAUGGCGGCGCUGAUGGCGGAGGUGGUGGCAGUAGCAGAGGUGGCGGCAGAGUUGGUGGCCGGGUCGAGGUGAGGGCGAGGGUGCUGGCCGCGCAGUCAUGGGCCUAGCCGGUCUGCAGGAGAACAUAUUUACUGGGCAGUCAAAGAUCUAUGCCUACAGGAGGCCGAACAAGUGCUCUGCAAUGUGCUCUCCACUUCAGGAAGAGAACUCGGUUGCCCAUCAAGAGGUCAAAUGCCUGGGGAAACCAUUAGCUGGAAUCUACAGGAAGCGAGAAGAAAAGGAACGCCGGGAACGUUAUCUGAAGCACUGUGAAGUCAGAUGAACAGAAGAGCAAAGACAACAGGAGUGGUCCCCUGCCGCCUUUUCCAAACCAAAAAUCUGAAGCAGCAGAACCUCCAAAUUCUCCCCCCCCCAUCAUGUGAUUCUACCAAUGUAGCAGUCGCUGCUAAGCAAGCCCUGAAAGAGCCCCUCAAGGGCAAGCAGGCCCCUCGGAAAAAGUCUCAAGGGAAAACCCAGCAGAAUAGAAAACUCACCGAUUUCUACCCUGUGUGGUGGAGCUCCUGGAAGAGCAAAGCUGAGCUGCAGUCUGAAGAAAGGGAGAAAAUAGACAGCUGAUUGAGAGGGGAAGGAAGAAGGCAUGAAGAUCGAUCUAAUUGAUGUCAAAGGCAGGGGUGUGAUCACUACCAAGGAGUUCUCCCGGGGAGACUUUUGGUAGAAUACCAUGGGGAUCUCAUUGAAAUCACUGAUGCCAAGAAGCGGGAGGCUCUGUAUGCACAGGACCCCUCCACGGGCUGCUACAUGUACUAUUUUCAGUAUCUGAGCAAAACCUACUGCGUGGAUGCCACUCAAGAAACGAACCACCUGGGGAGACUCAUCAGUCACAGUAAGUGUGGGAACUGCCAGACCAAACUGCACGACAUUGAUGGCGUGCCUAGCCUCAUCGUCAUCACCACCUGAGACAUCGAGACAUCGCAGCUGGGAAGGAGCUCCUGUACUAUAGGUACCGAAGCAAGGCUUCUAUUGAAGCCUACCCUUGGCUGAAGCACUAA
rnacentral:lncRNA from 1 species